rnacentral:lncRNA from 1 species
AUCAGUUUCUCAUUUCAAGCUUCUUUCCUCAUCGCUGCGCUUUAAUUUUCAGGUAUACAUUUCUUCAAGCACCGUGAGUAUCAAUCUCAUUCCCCUGCUAUAUAUACUCCUCACUAAUUCAAGAGACCUUUCUAAGUCUCAUUGAACUAACAGAUUCUCAUAUACUGCACAGUGUUAAUCUGAGGAUUGCUAGCUUCUACCACCAGCUUUAGUAACUCGCUGUCAAAGACCUUAACGCAUCCUUUUGUUCCUUGAUGACAUGUCGCUCGAUUUAAGAUCCUGUUUCACUGAAGUUACUUGGCGUGCAAGACUCGAGAAAUCCACAAACCCUUUUGUGUUUCAGUGGUCUUGUCUACAAUUAGUAAUCAUGAGGUACUAUCUACGUUCUCUCUGGUGUAAAUUAUGUAUUAGCUUUAUUAGAAACUAGAAAUUUAGUUAAGUCUCUUGUCUUAAAGUUACUAGCUGGAACGUACACAAUACAUUACAUAUAAAUAAUCAAGGUACAUAUGUAACUUAGGUCCCUCUCAAAUCGUUACCCGUCUUUAUUUUAAGUUGUUUAACCAUAAUUGUAACAUGAAUAGACAAAUGCAUAAGGAGCUUAUUUUGUUGAUUAGACUUUACUUAAACAAGUUGGAGAGGUGGUUGGUUUUGGUCGGAGGAGUUCUGAUUUGGUUCAAGAAGGUUAACCGGAAUAUAGUUCCGGUUGUACUGCUCCGACUGAUGAGAAGAUGACUCGUAAACCGUCCCUUGUUGAUGUAUCACACUCGCUUCCUGCUGCUGCAUUCCCGCUCUUUCGUUUAUCUGUAGAAUUAUAUAAAAUUAACUUGCUCAUCGAAGAGAUAAAUUGUAUAUAUAUUGAAAAAAAAAAAUCAAAAUGCAAACAAAAAGCAUAUACUCCCUAGCUAUGUUUGUAAAAGAUAUAUGUCUAUGCUUUGAUACGUAUUAAAAAUAUAUUAAAUUUUAAUAAAUAAAUGUAUUAUUUUCGUAUUUAUCAACUUCCAAUAAUUUUAUACCAAUAGUAUUUUAAUAAAUAAAUGUAUUAUAAAAAAUAUUUAUAUUUCUGAAAGAGAGAGAGAGAGUAUUGAUAAGACCUUGGAUCGGAGAUACAUGUUAUCGUUUUGAAGCUCGAUCUCCUACAUGAACAUAAAAGGGAGCUAAUGUUACGAAAGAGAAGAUUGUUAUAGAAAGUAGGGUUACUUGUUGAGGAAGACAUGACUUUUAAUUACCCUUUUUUGCAUGUACUCUAUCUCUGCAACUAGCAUCUCAUGCUGGGCGAAGAAUAAAACGUAAGGGUCAAGAAUCAGAUCAAGUCGAAGCAUAUAAAGGGAUUGAAGGAAGUGAAAGUUAUUAACCUUCUUGGAGCGGACACGACCGAUGCCUUUUUCAAGCCUACCUUCGAGGUUCUUGA